UGGCUUAGUCGGUUAAGCAUCUGACUUCAGCUCAGGUCAUGAUCUCACGGUUCGUGGGUUCGAGUCCCAC
rnacentral:tRNA from 1 species